CCAAUAGCGUAUAUUAAAGUUGUUGCAGUUAAAAAGCUCGUAGUUGAAUUUCGGGAUCAUCAGGUUGGUCGUGCCUUUGGUAUGUACUUUCCUCGAUGAUUCCUCCCUCUUGAAGAUCCGUAAUGUCAUUAAUUUGGUGUUGCGGGGAAUCAGGACUGUUACUUUGAAAAAAUUAGAGUGUUUAAAGCAGGCAAUCGCUUGAAUACAUUAUCAUGGACUAAUGAAAUAGGACGUUCGAUCCUAUUUUGUUGGUUUCUAGGAUUGACGUAAUGAUUAAUAGGGAUAGUUGGGGGCAUUAGUAUUCAAUUGUCAGAGGUGAAAUUCUUGGAUUUAUUGAAGACUAACUACUGCGAAAGCAUUUGCCAAGGAUGUUUUCAUUAAUCAAGAACGAAAGUUAGGGGAUCGAAGACGAUCAGAUACCGUCGUAGUCUUAACCAUAAACCAUGCCGACUAGGGAUCGGAUGAUGUUAAUUUUUUAAUGACUCAUUCGGCGCCUUACG
rnacentral:rRNA from 1 species